UUCGGUACGACAUUGCUCACAUUGCUUCCAGUAUCACUUGCCCGCCUUUACGGCGGGCUUUUUUU
rnacentral:antisense_RNA from 1 species